rnacentral:miRNA from 1 species
CCUGACUUCUCUCUUCAUGCAG